UACGUAGGGGGCUAGCGUUGUCCGGAAUCAUUGGGCGUAAAGCGCGUGUAGGCGGUCCGGUAAGUCCGCUGUGAAAGUCGGGGGCUCAACCCUCGAAUGCCGGUGGAUACUGUCGGGCUAGAGUGCGGAAGAGGCGAGUGGAAUUCCUGGUGUAGCGGUGAAAUGCGCAGAUAUCAGGAAGAACACCGACGGCGAAGGCAGCUCGCUGGGACGGUACUGACGCUGAGGCGCGAAAGCGUGGGGAGCGAACAGG
rnacentral:rRNA from 1 species